GCGCUGGUGGUGUAAGGCGUAGCAUCGCUGCAGGGAAAGCAGAAGGUGCGGGUUCAAGUCCCGCCCGGCGCA
rnacentral:tRNA from 1 species